rnacentral:rRNA from 1 species
UACGGAGGGUGCGAGCGUUGUCCGGAAUCACUGGGCGUAAAGGGCGCGUAGGUGGCUACUCAAGCGCGCGGUGAAAGCCCGGGGCUCAACCCCGGGUCGGCCGUGCGGACUGGGAGGCUCGAGCACUGUAGGGGCGGGUGGAAUUCCGGGUGUAGCGGUGGAAUGCGUAGAGAUCCGGAAGAACACCGGUGGCGAAGGCGCUCUGCUAGGCCGCAACUGACACUGAGGGACGAAAGCUAGGGGAGCAAACAGG